AAUAAAGACGGCUACUAACUGUUUUUGUGAAUUAUUAAACGAAAAUAUUUUGUGGAAGGAAAAUAUUUAAGCUGUUGUGACUGACUGAGGGUGGCAUGUUUUGCUACAGGCAAGUGCUUCCAAUUUUUAAAAAAUGAGUAUGACUUGGCAAGUGCAAAAACCGGGCCCACCUUUCCUUAGACCCUGCGUGGUGCAUACCCGAGCAAGAGACACGAAGGACCCCGUGACUACGAGCGGCCCGAACCCUUUCUGUUC